CAUUUCUUCGGAAAGUAAGAUCCCUGAAAGAUGAUCAGGUAGAUAGGUUUGGAGUGGAAGUGUAGCGAUACAUGGAGCGGACAAAUACUAAUCGAUCGAGGACUUAACCAAAA
rnacentral:rRNA from 1 species